GUCUUUUCGAGGUAGGAGUCGACUCCUGUGAGGUAUGGUGCUGGGUGCAGAUGCAGUGUGGCUCUGGAUAGCACCUUAUGGACAGUUGUGUCCCCAAGGAAGGAUGAGAAUAGCUACUGAAGUCCUAAAGAGCAAGCCUAACUCAAGCCAUUGGCACACAGGCAUUAGACAGAAAGCUGGAAGUUGAAAUGGUGGAGUCCAACUUGCCUGGACCAGCUUAAUGGUUCUGCUCCUGGUAACGUUUUUAUCCAUGGAUGACUUGCUUGGGUAUGGAGAGUCGGCUUGACUACACUGUGUGGAGCAAGUUUUAAAGAAGCAAAGGACUCAGAAUUCAUGAUUGAAGAAAUGCAGGGUUUUUAAUGACCACAACAAGCAAGCAUGCAGCUUACUGCUUGAAAGGGUCUUGCCUCACCCAAGCUAGAGUGCAGUGGCCUUUGAAGCUUACUACAGCCUCAAACUUCUGGGCUCAAGUGAUCCUCAGCCUCCCAGUGGUCUUUGUAGACUGCCUGAUGGAGUCUCAUGGCACAAGAAGAUUAAAACAGUGUCUCCAAUUUUAAUAAAUUUUUGCAAUCCAUCUGGA
rnacentral:lncRNA from 1 species